rnacentral:rRNA from 1 species
AAAUUUGCGCGGUAUUUUAGUCUUUUUAGAGGAACCUGUCCUAUAAAUGAUGAUCCACGAUUUAUUAGACUUAUUUUAAUUAGUUUGUAUAUCGUCGUAGUUUGAAUAUUUUAUAAGAAUUUUAAUAUUCAAGAUUCUUUAUAAGGAAAAAAAUCAGAUCAAGGUGCAGCUUAUAAAUAAGUAGAGAUGGGUUACAAUAAAUUUAUUUAAAUGGUUUAGUUAAUUGAAAAUUAAUUAAUAAAGUGGAUUUAAAAGUAAUAAUAUUUAAUUUAAUUUUAUGAUUAUAGCUCUAAAAUAUGCACAUAUCGCCCGUCGCUCUCAUAUAAAGUGAGAUAAGUCGUAACAAAGUAGAUGUACUGGAAAGUGUAUCUAGUCUGUCAAAUUAGAGCUUGUUUAAAAAGCUUUUUAUUUACAUUAAAAUGUUAAUUGUGAAAAUCAAUUUAAUGAAUAGUUAAAAUUAUUAUAUUUGAAUUAAUAAAGUAUUAUUUUGUUUAUUAUUGUUAAAGAAAAAUUUUUAUUUAUUAUAGUUUAUUAGUAUAGUGAAAGAAAUUUUAAAAAUUGAAAUUAAAAAUUUUAAUAAGAAAAAUUUUUUUUUUGUACCUUGUGUAUCAGGGUUUAUUAAUUAAAAAUUAAUUAAUUUAAUUUUCUCGAUUUUAGAAGAGUUAAAAAAUUAUAAAUUUUAUUGUUGAAUAAAUAUUUAAAAUAAUUUUUUUGUAAUGAAAUGUUAUUCGUUUCUAAAUAUAUCUAGUUUUUGAAGAAAAAAAUUUAAUUUUAAUUAUAAUAUUUAAUUUUGUUAUUUAAAAAAUAUUUUUAAUAUUAUAAUUUAUAAUUUAAGGGAUAAGCUUUAAAUUAAAUUUAUAAAAUAAAAUUUAUGAAAUAAAAUUGUAGGAUUAUAAAUUUUCACCAUAUAAUUUGUUAUAAUUAAUUUAUUAUUUUGUAUAUAAUUUUCUUUUAUUUAUGUAUUUUAUUCAAAUAAUUUAUUUAAUUAAAAAAUAAUUAUAAUAAUGAUAAAAUUAGUAUAAUUUUAUUUAUUUUUAAUUAAAAAUGUUAAAUUUAAUUAAGGAAUUCGGCAAAAUAUUUCUCGCCUGUUUAAUAAAAACAUGUCCUUUUGUUUAUAAUUUAAGGUCUAACCUGCCCAUUGAAAUUUUUAAAGGCCGCAGUAUUUUGACUGUGCGAAGGUAGCAUAAUAAUUAGUUUUUUAAUUGAAAGCUUGUAUGAAUGGUUGAACGAGGAAAUAACUGUCUCAAUUAAAAUAUUAAAAAUUUAUUUUUAAGUUAAAAAGCUUAAAUUUUUUUAAAAGACGAGAAGACCCUAUAGAGUUUUAUAUUUUAUUAUUAUUGUUAUUAUUUGUAUUAUAUUUAAUAAUUUUAAU